rfam:Lyngbya majuscula 3L genomic scaffold scf52111, whole genome shotgun sequence.
GGGAAUGUAGCUCAAUUGGCAGAGCAGUCGGCUCUUAACCGAAUUGUUGCAGGUUCAACUCCUGUCAUUCCCA